GACGGAGGAUGCAAGUUGUUAUCCGGAAUCACUGGGCGUAAAGCGUCUGUAGGUGGUUCAAUAAGUCAACUGUUAAAUCUUGAGGCUCAACUUCAAAAUCGCAGUCGAAACUAUUGGACUCGAGUAUAGUAGGGGUAAAGGGAAUUUCCAGUGGAGCGGUGAAAUGCGUAGAGAUUGGAAAGAACACCAAUGGCGAAAGCACUUUACUGGGCUAUUACUGACACUGAGAGACGAAAGCUAGGGGAGCGAAUGGG
rnacentral:rRNA from 1 species